GUCCCAGUCCGGAUAGGAGUCUGCAACCCGACUCCUUGAAGUUGGAAUCGCUAGUAAUUCCGGAUCAGCAUGCCGGGGUGAAUGCGUUCCCGGGCCUUGUACACACCGCCCGUCACACCACGAAAGUCGGUUUUACCCGAAACCGGUGAGUCAACUAGCAAUAGAGACAGCCGUCUACGGUAGGACCGAUGAUUGGGGUGAAGUCGUAACAAGGUAGCCGUAGGGGAACCUGCGGCUGGAUCACCUCCUU
rnacentral:rRNA from 1 species